GCGUUAUCUGCGCCGGGGCGGUCAGCAGACAGCAACUGAGCAGACAUGGCGGCACACAGCUUGCAUAUCACUGGACAGGAGAGGUUUUUAUUACUCCGUUUUUAUACCUAAGAAGGUUUCGUUCAAAUAAGCAAAGUUUGUUUUUAUGUUUUCCUGCGCGGAGAUGCUGCUGGCGUUCUGGUGCGCAAAGCUGUGACUUUCUGUGGCUGAGGCUGCCAAGUUUCCAUGCAGAGCUCCAAACCAGGGCGGCUAUCUCAGAGGAAUGAAGCGCCUGCGCCCAGAUUAACUGAUGUCCUCCAUGUCCAGCUGCUGUGCUCACUCACACCCGGCUGUUUAAGGUACAUGAUGUUCACUACCAUGCUGCAACUUUCUAUAUACAUUAUGACUGUUCGUAUAGUUUGCAUGCUGCUGUAGUGUGUGCACUCACUCCUCUCUGUGCCCAGUCCAUUCACACAUUCAUGUCAUGAUAUGAUAUUUAUAAGGAUAAGGAAUAAGGAAUUUAGAAUAAGGAGUUUCUUCUUAGCUCUGUAG
rnacentral:lncRNA from 1 species